GUGCUCACUUCAGCAGCACAUAUACUAAAACUGGAAAAAUACAGAGAAGAUUAGCAUGGCCCCCUGCACAAGGCUGGCAUGCAAAUUCGUGAAGGGCUCCAUAUAUAA